GGAAGUUGCAUCAGUAGUCUGUACGGAGUCUCUGUGUCCGGGAAGACGAUGCUCCAGAGAGAAGACGGGUUCUGAUUGCAGGAACACGGACUGCACUUCUCCAGCACGCUAUUCACUGCGGUCUGUGAAGCCGAGACGUUUUCCUGAAUACUGAUGUUCCACUUUUCAUCCAGAGCCAAAAUUAGCUCAUGGGACGGACUAUGUGAGCGACGGAUCGCUAUACGGGCGUCCAGCAGAAAGCUGUUCCAGAUGGAGCGCACGCCGGCCGAGGUCAACAUGCGCUGCUGCCACGCGCCGCCGCCGCCGCCGCACGAGAGGCUCACGAGCGACACGACGCGCUUCACGAGCACUACCGAGUCGUAGAGCACGAAGAACAGGCAGUUGGAGAAGAAGCCGGGUAGAAUCUGCAGGGUGACCCGCAGGUCCGCGCUGAGCACUCCCAUGCUUUCUCCCGCAACAGAUCGUGUGGGUGUGGCUUACAUGGUGAAGAGACGGCACCAGGAUGCACUAUGGGAAGAAGGCGAGCCGGCGGAGGACGUGUGAUGCUCUGGGCAAAAUGUUCUGAUGGGAAACCUUGUCUCCUGGCAUUCACGUGGAUGUUACUUUGACACGUACAACCUACCUAAAUACUGUUGCAGACCAG
ensembl:lncRNA